rnacentral:snoRNA from 1 species
CUCUCUGAUGAUGAUCAAAAACUUUCGUUCUACCGAGCUGUCUUAAUGACAGUGUGGAAAAAACUGGAGACCUGAACUGAAGAGAG